rnacentral:rRNA from 1 species
UAAUACCGGCGGCUCGAGUGGUGGCCACUAUUACUGGGCUUAAAGCGUUCGUAGCUGGUCUGUUAAGUCUCUGGGGAAAUCUACUGGCUUAACCAAUAGGCGUCUCAGGGAUACUGGCAGACUAGGGACCGGGAGAGGUGAGAGGUACUCCAGGGGUAGGAGUGAAAUCCUGUAAUCCUUGGGGGACCACCUGUGGCGAAGGCGUCUCACCAGAACGGCUCCGACAGUGAGGGACGAAAGCUGGGGGAGCAAACCGGAUUAGAUACCCGGGUAGUCCCAGCCGUAAACGAUGCGCGUUAGGUGUAUCGGUGACCACGAGUCACCGAGGUGCCGAAGAGAAAUCGUGAAACGUGCCGCCUGGGAAGUACGGUCGCAAGGCUGAAACUUAAAGGAAUUGACGG